rnacentral:rRNA from 1 species
GAGUUUGAUCUUGGCUCAGAUUGAACGCUGGCGGCAUGCCUUACACAUGCAAGUCGAACGGCAGCACGGGAGCUUGCUCCUGGUGGCGAGUGGCGAACGGGUGAGUAAUGCAUACGGAACGUAUCCUGGAGUGUGGGAUAACGUAGCGAAAGUUACGCUAAUACCGCAUAUUCUGUGAGCAGGAAAGCGGGGGACCUUCGGGCCUCGCGCUCUUGGAGCGGCCGAUGUCGGAUUAGCUAGUUGGUGAGGUAAAGGCUCACCAAGGCGACGAUCCGUAGCAGGUCUGAGAGGAUGAUCUGCCACACUGGAACUGAGACACGGUCC